rnacentral:rRNA from 1 species
UACGUAGGGUGCGAGCGUUAAUCGGAAUUACUGGGCGUAAAGCGUGCGCAGGCGGUUCGUUGUGUCGGCGGUGAAAGCCCCGGGCUCAACCUGGGAAUGGCCGUUGAAACUGGCGAACUGGAGUGUGGCAGAGGGGGGUGGAAUUCCGCGUGUAGCAGUGAAAUGCGUAGAGAUGCGGAGGAACACCGAUGGCGAAGGCAGCCCCCUGGGCUGACACUAACGCUCAGGCACGAAAGCGUGGGGAGCAAACAGG